GCCAAUUGGAAGCCAGUGAAGAGAGCGGAGGAGCAGUGUAGUGUGUGAGAACUUGGGGAGGUUGAAGACAAGUCCAGCUGCUGCGUUCUGAAUCAGCUGCAGGGGCCGGAUGGAACAUGCAGAAAGGCCAAUCAGGAGGAAGUUGCGGUAGUCUAGA